GAUGAAGAACGUAGUGAAAUGCGAUAAGUAAUGUGAACUGCAGAAUUCAGUGAAUCAUCGAAUCUUUGAACGCACAUUGCGCCCGGUAGUAAUCUGCCGGGCAUGCCUGUCCGAGCGUCAUUUCAACCCUCGAACCACUAUUCGCGUAGCUGGAUCGGUGUUGGGGCACUACGGUGGAAUACCCGUAGGCCCCGAAAUGAAGUGGCGGUCCCGCCGCGGCGCCCCCAUGCGUAGUAACAUCUCGUCUCGCAUCGGGUCCCGGCGGAGGCCUGCCGUCAAGCCUAUUUUCUAAUUACAGAUGGUUUGACCUCGGAUCAGGUAGGGUUACCCGCUGAACUUAAGCAUAUCAAUAAGCGGAGGA
rnacentral:misc_RNA from 1 species